GUGGCGGCGUGGGUGAAGCCCCAGCUGUUGGAGCGUCUCCUGCAUCUGUCCCUGGCCUAAACCCGACGCUAGGCUGGAGGAAGCGACUGCGGGCCGGGCUGGCGGGGACUGGGGCCUCGUUGUGGUUCGUGGCGGGGCUGGGGCUGCUUUACGCUCUGAGGAUCCCUUUGAGGCUGUGUGAGAAUUUGGCAGCGGAUAUUUGAAUGGUGGUACUUCCAUAAGCAUGGCACAUCUUUUAUUGAGCAAGUAUCUGUAAGCCAUUUGCAACCACUGAUGGGAGGAACAGAGAGCAGCAUUUCAGAACCAGGUUCUCCUUCGAGGAACAGAGAAAAUGAAACCAGCAGACAGAAUUUGUCAGAAUGUAAGGUAUGGAGAAACCCUCUAAAUCUUUUCAGAGGAGCAGAAUAUAGGAGAUACACUUGGGUGACUGGUAAAGAGCCACUUACAUACUAUGACAUGAACCUGUCAGCUCAGGACCAUCAGACCUUUUUCACCUGUGACACAGAUUUUUUACGUCCUUCAGACACAGUUAUGCAGAAGGCUUGGAGGGAAAGAAAUCCUCCAGCUCGAAUCAAAGCAGCCUAUCAAGCUUUAGAAUUAAACAAUGACUGUGCCACUGCAUAUGUUCUACUGGCUGAGGAAGAAGCAACAACUAUUGUAGAUGCUGAAAGGUUAUUUAAACAGGCACUCAAGGCAGGAGAAACAAUUUAUAGGCAGUCACAGCAGUGCCAGCACCAAAGUCCUCAGCAUGAAGCUCAACUGAGGAGAGAUACCAAUGUACUGGUAUAUAUUAAAAGAAGAUUGGCAAUGUGUGCAAGAAAAUUAGGAAGAAUAAGAGAAGCAGUAAAAAUAAUGAGAGAUAUAUAAGCCUUCCAAAGUCAGCAGCAAUCUGUUACACAGCAGCACUGUUGAAGACAAGGACUGUUUCAGAAAAAUUCUCUCCAGAAACAGCCUCCAGAAGAGGAUUAAGCACAGCAGAAAUUAAUGCCGUGGAAGCAAUUCAUAGAGCUGUGGAAUUUAAUCCUCAUGUUCCAAAAUAUUUAUUAGAGAUGAAAAGUUUAAUUUUACCUCCAGAACACAUUCUGAAACGGGGUGAUAGUGAAGCAAUUGCCUAUGCUUUCUUUCAUCUUCAGCACUGGAAACGAAUAGAAGGUGCUCUUAAUCUGUUAGAGUGUACAUGGGAAGGCACUUUUAGAAUGAUUCCAUACCCGUUAGAGAAAGGACAUCUAUUUUACCCUUAUCCCAGCUGCACAGAGACGGCUGAUAGAGAGCUAUUACCUACCUUUCAUCAUGUUUCUGUUUACCCAAAAAAGGAGCUUCCUUUGUUCAUCCAUUUCACAGCAGGAUUUUGCUCUUCUACAGCAAUGAUAGCCAUUCUCACUCACCAGUUUCCUGAAAUCAUGGGUAUUUUUGCUAAAGCUGUAAGUAUGAUCUCAAGGACUUGUGUAGAUUAUUUGUAAAACACACAAGAAACCAUCUCUGAUCUGCCUGUGCUAACCCAGCUGAACAAUGGAAGAUAUUUGUUGUAAAUUAAAGGAAUUGAUUUGUAUAUAGUUGCUGCCAUAAAUAUAUCAAACAUAAA
rnacentral:sRNA from 1 species